UACUUUCUUUUACUAUUUAUUAGUUGAGAUAUUACAUAAUAUCUCAAUAACAGUCCAGUUUGACUUAAUACCAAGUUUCAAUAAUAGACAAAAACUUGCUCACCUGCCCUUAAUGUGGUUAUCGUCACAAAUUACAUCCUUAUACAUUUUGUGCCCAUCAACAUAGUGUUAUAAUCAUUGUUUGGUGUAAUUAUCCUUUUUUUUUUUUUUAAAGGCUGCAUCACAACAUAUGGAAAAGUUCCCAGGCUAGGGAUUGAAUCAGAGCUGUAGCUGCUGGCCUACACCCAGCCACAGCCACACCAGAUCCAAGCCACAUCUGCAACCUACACCUGCAAUAUGUAUAUUUACCUGUUUCCCUUUACUAAUGUUUUUUCAUGUGGAUUUGAAUUGUUGUCCAGUAUCCUUUUAUUUUCAGCUUGAAGGUCUGUCUUUACCAUUUCUUGUAGGGAAGGCCUACUAGCAAUAAUCUGUCUCAGUUUUUGCUCACCUAGGAAUGUGUUAACUCCUCCACUUUUGAAGAAAUAUUUGCCAGAUACAGGAUUCUUGGUUGACACUUUCUUUCCAGGACACUGAAUAUGUCAUCCCACUGCCUUCUGGCCUCACGGUUUAUGACAAAAAAAUCAGAUGUUAAUCUUAUUGGUGAUCCCUUUAAUGUGAAGUCAGUUCUCUAUUGCUGUUUUCAAGAUUUCUUGUCUUUUGACAGUUUGGUUAUAAUGUGUCUCAAAAUGAAUCUUUUUAAAAAUCCUACUUAUGUUCCCUGAGCUUCUGGGAUGUGUGGAUUACUAUCUUUCAUCAAAUUUGGUAAGUUUUCAGCCAUUGUUUCUUCAAAUAUUUUUUUCUCUCUUCUGACUCCCAGUAUGCAUACAUAUGUUGGUAUACUUGAUGUCACAGAGGUGCAACUGUUAAUUUUUCUAUAUAUAUAUAUAUAUAUUUUUUGUCCUCCUUAGAUUAGGAAAUCUCAAUUGACCUAUCUUAAAGUUUGCCAGCUCGCUCUUCUGCCUUCUCAAAUCUCCUCUCUUCCCCUCUAGCGAUUUUUAAAAAUUUUGUUAUUAUUCAUUAUACUGUAGAACUCCAGAAUUUCUAUUUGGUUCCUUUUUAUAACUUCUCUUUAUUGACAUUAUCUAUUUGAUGAGACAUCACUUUUUUGGUUUCCUUUAGCUCUUGAAGCUUUUUAAAGAUAGCUGACAUAAAGUCUUUGCAGCCCUCAAUUUCUCUUAACAGAUUUCUUGUUUUCCCAUGUAUGGUUCAUACUUUGUUUCUUUGCAUGCCUCAUAAUUUUUGUUGAAAAGUGGGCAUUUUGAACACUGUAAUGUGAAGACUCAAAACCAGAUUCUUCCCCUUCCCCAGAGUUUUUGGUUGCUGCUUAUUGAACCUAUUGCAGUUUGUUUAGUGACUUUCUGAACUAAUUUUUUAAGUUUGUACUUCCCUGGUGUGGUCAAUUGUCUCUGUUCAGUUAACUUAGUGGUCACUAAGUGAUUCAACACUAUCUCCUUAAAACUCCUGGAACAACAACCCCCCCCCCCCUCCCCAGUCUUUACCGUGUCUUGGAGCAGAUCUUUUGACAUUCAGCCAGGCAGUCUAAGCCUGCCUGAGCCUUCAUUUCCUGCAUGUGCAGAGCCUGAAAGCCAGAGGUAAGAGCUUAAGGCCCUCUUAAGUCUUUUCUAAACAUGUGCCCAUCUCUAGGCAUGAAUGUGGCUGUCUAGAUUCUCAGGAAUUUGUGGGAGCACUCCAAAACCAUUAUUCCCCAAAGUAUCUCACCCCCAGCCUUUCCUCCCCAAACUUUUCUACUUGUCUCCUUUUUGCCCCAGCUGUUAUCCCUUUUUCUAGACAUCAACAGCUAAUGUACUUUCAGAUAUCCUCCAGGGUUGCCACCUCUACUCUGGGAGAGUUCCAAAUUAAGUAAAAUAAAAGCAAGUUAUUCGAGCCAGUCUUUCAGGGAACAACAAGAUAGAUCAAAUAACCAUAAUUCUUGAGAACAAGGCCCAUUCUGCUCCCUCUAUUGCUAGGGACCUAAUGGACUAUGGAGAUUGUUUUUGAAGCUGCUGCCAAGCUGAAAUGAGGAUAAUAAGGCCAAGGUGAGUGAGAUGCAACAAGAUCCUCUUAUCAAAACUCACCUUUUUUUUUCCUUUACACUUAUGUUUUGGUUGCUGCAAACUUUCAGUUAGUUUUCAGAGUUCUGAUAAAGUUGAUUCUGACAGUCUUUUCCAUCUUAUUUGCUGCCUUUGUGGAGAAAGGAUUUUUGGAGUGCCCUACACUACCAUUUUUGCUGCCUACAAGGAAGUUUAAGAAGCUCUUAUCUAGUCCACCCUUCAUUUUACAAAGGAGAAACAGAGGCCCAAAGAAGGAAAGUGGCUUAUCCAGGGUCAUGCAGCAAAUCAGUAGCUAAGCCAAGACCAGAAUAGGGAAGCUCGACUCUUUCCGCUUCAGGGCUACAUCUACUCUUACUGUUGGGAAGGAACCAGGUUAAGAGUGAACCUCAGUAUUAGGCCAAAAGGAACUUUCCAAGGAGUCAGGGUUGGGGGUUAAAAGCCCCUCGUAGAGUUGGGGGCUUGAAUGAUUGAAUCUUUUGCUGAGAGGAAACCCUGUAUUGGGCCAGGUGGAGGACUAAGUAAUGAUGUCCUGAGGAACACAGACAGCUUUCAGGUUUGAUGGGGUAAACAUUUAAGCUGGUAACUACCUGCGGAAAUGAUUUAGCUUGACUUUUUUUCAUUUCUGACUCCAUUCCACAUCAGCCUGAGUAGGAAGGAGCUGAGAGCAGAAAUAAGGGGCCAAGUUCUAGGCUCAGACUGUAACUCCCUGCCAAAGCAAAUGGAUGAAUAUGGCAUGACUAUCCAGCUGUUGCUUUAACCAUGGGCAUGUGCAGAUGUUAAUCUUUCAGGUACCUCUUGCCAAAGCUAGGAGUGGACUAGUCUUAUCUCCCACCACCUGACUGAAUUCCAAAUACCCUGCAGCCUUCUCUCUGUGUGUAUAUUUCUAGUCUCAGAAGUUCUGUCUCAGCACAGGAGUACUUAAAACAGCAUCAGAAAACAAGACAAGCAGCAGAAAACUAGGUGAGCAGGUUAUAGAUGCAGCUUCCCAGCCCCCACACCUGUUUUAGACUCUGUGAGGGUGGGGCCCAGAGACUUGCAUCUUUAAUGAACUCCUCAGCUGAUCCUAAUGCACACUAGGGUUUGAGAACCACUACUUCAGGACCAUUUCCCUAUCCAUCAAGUAAGCACCCCAAGGUUCCUUUCUCAAAUUUUACAUCUGAGGCAAGUGACUUAUUGCCUUGCCCUAGUCUUGGCUUUGCCACUAACACAUAAUAGUCCUUGAGAUGUCCCACAGCUGGUAAAAAUGAGCUCAGGGCUGGAUUCACCUGGUGACUCAUCCUCCAGUUGUUCUGGAAGUGACAUUAGAUGUGCAGCAUGGACUGGCUUUGACUAUACCACCAGUAGACAGGAAAAAGACCCUGUGUAGUUCCCUCCCAGGAAGAUGACCUAUAAGCUCAAUGAGCCUCUCAUCCUUUUUUCAUCCUGAGUAUCACCAUCGGUGUUAAGAACUUUCCACAGACGUCAGAAGGCAGGUGGUGCCUUUCUUGUCUCUAGAGAGAUUUAUGAAGCAUUUACAUAGUCCUCCAGCCCAUCCUUGCUAUGGGUUGGGUCUUGUAAGCAUGAUCAAGAGGGCAGCCAGAGGGACAGAAAGGUAGAGAAUAAGGAUCAAGAUGAACAUAGAUGGAGUCUCAACCUGGAGUCUCAAACUCAGAAGCCCAUAGAGCCAAAUAGAUAACUUGUACUUGGUAUGAGACAAUAGGGAGCAGUGGGGCCUGUAGCAAAUGGAUAGUACAGCCACAGGUUGGCUCCAACAGGAACUGCCGUGCAGGAAUGCUCAACCAGUGAUACUAGAAUUUUUAGUUACACAAGACAAGCUAUUAUUCCAGAUUUUUUAAAAUAGGAAAUCUCUCAAUGCUUAAAUGUUGGCAACAAAUCCAAAUAUCUAAAAAGACUCUAUGGGAUUUCCCAUCGUGGCUCAGUGGUAACAAACCCGACUAGCAUCUGUGAUGAUGGAGGUUCGAUCCCUGGCCUU
rnacentral:lncRNA from 1 species